AACUAAGAACAAAAAAAACAAACAACAACUUACCACGUGUCAAUUUUUCUAUUACAUUAACUCUCUCAUACUAAGUACUCCCUAUGAGAUACUUUUUUGAGAGCUCUAUGUGAACCAUACAUUUUUCUCUUUUCUUGGAUAAGGUAAGCAAUACAUUCUUUAUACAUAUAUGUGUGUGUGUGUCAUGCUUAAACACAUAGCAUACUAGUAUAACUUCCUCUGUUCUAGAGCCACAUGAUCGAAAAAACAAAUAAAAAUGACAAGCAAAGCUUCUUCGAUCUCUUCUUCUAUCAUCAUAUGCUGCUUGUUCAUGAUUUGGAUCAUCAUGGUUUCACCUGUACUCUCAGCGCGAAAAUUAUCCACCACUCCCAUCAACGAACAAAGUAAAAGUAGUACAGCAGGAAGAGGUCCAAUCAUUUGGAUAACACCUUCGCCUCCCUGUCCCAAGGUUUGCAGCUCCCCAAUCGUUGGAAAACCAUAGGAGAAUGUGCGUGUAAUAUAUUUGCUAGUCACUAAAACUAGCAUAUUAGUGGUGAGAGAAUACGAGUGAUUUGUAAAAAAUCUAAGAUGCUUUUAUUGAGACGUGAGAGUGUGCGUGUAAUAUAUUUGCUUGAUUUUGUUUUAUAUUUAGCCAAAUUAAUAAUGUGUCUAAUUUAUGCGACUAUGUUAUUCAACCCAAUUUGAAUUUUCCUUUUACCCCUUA